rnacentral:rRNA from 1 species
ACGCUCGACACCUACGGGAGCAGCAGUGAGGAAUAUUGGUCAAUGGGCGCUAGCCUGAACCAGCCAAGUAGCGUGAAGGAUGAAGGCUCUAUGGGUCGUAAACUUCUUUUAUAUAAGAAUAAAGUGCAGUAUGUAUACUGUUUUGUAUGUAUUAUAUGAAUAAGGAUCGGCUAACUCCGUGCCAGCACGCCGACGGUAAUCUGAGGCGGGCGUGGACGAAGGC